rnacentral:RNase_P_RNA from 1 species
CGAAGAAAUCGGGUGGCCGCUAUAUGUCUUAUGAUGUGUAGAGGAAAGUCCGGGCUUCACGGAAAAACGACGCCGGAUAACGUCCGGGGAGGGGGCAACCCCUUACGGCCAGUGCUGCAGAAAAUAAACUACCUCUCUUUAUCUUCGGAUGGCGAGGGGAAAAGGUGAGAAGGUGCGGUAAGAGCGCACCGCGAAUUCGGUAACGGAUUUGGCAUGGUAAACCCCGUCGGAAGCAAAACCAAAUAGGAGCUGCAUGUUACUUCGGUAACAGGUGUUUUUCGCACUGUGGCUCGGGUAGGUUGCUUGAGGUAUUUGGUAACAGAUAUCCUAGAUGAAUGGUCACCCCUGAUUUAUCAGGACAGAACCCGGCUUAUAGAUUUCUUCGACAU